CGCGUAGGCGGCUUGGUAAGUCGGAUGUGAAAUCCCGGGGCUCAACCCCGUGACUGCACCCGAAACUGCCCGGCUAGAGGUAGGUAGGGGAGAUCGGAAUUCCUGGUGUAGCGGUGAAAUGCGCAGAUAUCAGGAGGAACACCGGUGGCGAAGGCGGAUCUCUGGGCCUUACCUGACGCUCAGGCGCGAAAGCUAGGGGAGCAAACA
rnacentral:rRNA from 1 species